GGGCCCCAAGGGCGGGCGGCCGGGAGCUCGGUGCGGUGCCCGGCUCCCCUCGCAAGUUAAUGCCGAGGCUGAAAUCCCGUUUGCUAUCACUUUCAAUCACAAUCGGAGCUUUUAUCUCCGUGCCUGAUCCGGGCUGCGUAACUUCCUCUGUGCAGCUUUAGCACACACCAUCCCACCGGCGAGCAAUGUGCUUCUUAAAGGUGCAGGGAGGAAAUGCGGGCGGGGAGGGGAGGGAGGAGGGAGAAAAGCACCCGGGGAAGGCGAGGCUGCGAGCGGGGGGGGCCCGGAGGGGCUGCGGGAUCCGCGCGGUGCGGGGCUGGAGAGCGGCGGGCGGGGAACGGAGAACCGAGAGACGAUGGAAGCGGCUGUGCCGCUCCUUCUCCUUCUUUUCCCCCCACCUUUUCCUUUUUUCUUUUUCCUCCCCCCCUUUUCCCCUUUCUUUUCUCCCCUUUCCCUUUCUUCUCUCCCCCGUUUUCCUGUCUUCCCCUCCUUUUCCUUCCUUACCCCGUUCCUUUCUUUCCUCCCCUUCCCCCCCACCCCCUUUCCUUUUCUUUUUAAGAAAUAAUAAUCACGAGAUCAUGUUUUCUCAAGGAAUAAGCUGUAGUCACGAGGGUUUCCCCACACGUGUGAGCUAUCCGUGCUGUGUCCCGAAUAUUUUGGGGAGGUUCUGCUGGCGGAGAUGCUGUAAGCGAGGCUGCGUGUGCUGGGGAAGAGGGGGUGGUUGGAAUUAAUAGGAUAAACAAAGCAGGGACUCGGGGAUGGCGAAAUCAGAUGGUUGGGAAAUGCUUUGGUAAUGGUGGAGAUGCACUCUGGGAUUUAAGCAAGCUGAGUUUCCUUUGGUAAACGUGCAGGUCUGUGAGGUUUGGCAGUUCCUCCCAACACAGGGCACGGCUGCUGUGGGUGCUGCUCAGGAGAAUCAGUGGCAGGUGGAGAUCUCGGUCCACCCGUGCCAGAUUCUGUUGUGUGAACCCCAUUCUACAGCAGGCAGGUGCUGCAGGGGGGUCAUUCUUGCAGGUUUUUGGCAUGCAGAUGGAUAAAUGGCAAUCUAUUUCUGGGGAGGAAAACCAAAGAACCCCGCUGUCCCCUAUGCACAUCACCACCAAAAAAUGAAGGUUCUUUCCCAACCAAUAAUUCAACGAUUUCUAAGCCAGAAAGUGCACUGUCCAACUUGCAUGUGGUUUGCAAUCUCACUGACUCAGUGUUUUGUUACGUGAUUUACUUUGCCCCCCUGCUCUGAGGUCCUUCUAUGGCUUUUCCUGUUGAAGAGUCCAUGGAAAACACACAGACCACCCUGGGAAAUGUUUCCCAAAUCCUGGAGCAGAAGCAAGAGGUAGGGAAUGAUGGAGCACGCCCUGACUGUGGCUCAGCCUCAGUGCUGAAGUAUGGGACAGCCUUUGCCUGAAGGACUGCGAUUCUGGGUCCAUCUCCACUCCAGCCAUGACACAGACACUUUCCACAUGUUAUUUAUUAUUUUUCCCUGUAAGCACUGUAUGGCAGUGAGAAACAUUAGCUGGGAAUUCAGGGCAGGUGGGUAUUCCCGGAUUUCACUUUGUGCCUUUAGGUCUUCUGUGUAGUAAUGACUCCCCUGGAAAUUCCCCACGUCUCACUUAUUACUCCUUUAUUAGUUAUUAUGGUACAGUAACAGGAUAAAAAGGAGUUGGUAUUUCAUUUUCAUUCCCUCUAAUAGCCAUGGCAAAGACCAAGUGGUGUGCUGAUUAUUGACAUCAGAGUUAAGUGAUAUGCACGCAUCAUUAGGUUUCAAUUGGAAAGAAUAACAGCACAGUAUGAGUCGUCACACUUCUAAACUACUUCGCAUUUAAAGCAAAACUGAAGUCGUUUUUCUCAUCCCUGUGAGCUCAGAAGAUGAGGGCUGGCAAUAAUACUCACACCUAUGCAGGUGAGGGCUCCAGACGCAUCCCGAGGGGGAACGAUGACCCAAAUGCCCUGCAGAGGUGGGAGCAGCUGCCCCAGGGGCUCCAUGUGCUGCACGGUGGGUCACCUAUCAGUGCCGUUCUUGCAGGAAGGAAUGGGGAACAGUUUCAGCAAAUGUUUGAGACCAUUUACCUUCUUUUGCCCAAGGAUUUGGCAAAUAUUUCCUGCUCAGCGUUGUUUCCUUCUUGGGCGAUUUUCCUAUGGGGAGCAAUGUGGCUGUGCUGCUCCUGGAGGGCCGGCUCUGCCCCUCCCUCAUGCUGAGCACUGCCUUCUCACACAAGGUUGAAAAUCAAUGGGUCUGUGCCGAGAUUUAAUUACCACGGCAUAGGCAAGGGUGGAGAACAAGGCCCUUAAUUUUUAAUACGGCUUCAGCUCCCAAAGGGAUCCCCGGGGCUCAAGGGCCAAAUGCAAACCCAUUACACGCAGUUGUAAUUCUAUUGACAUAUGCAGCCUGGCACCUGUUUGUACGAAGGCAAUAUUUGGCUCCCGGCAUCGAAAUGGCAAGCGGUGAUUUUGACACGCGUGGGGGAAGAGGGAAGUGCUUCCCCAGCUUGGGAUGACUGAGGAUGAACUGAAACAACAGAAGGCAAACGUGACACCUCGCAGCGCUGCUCCUCGGCGGCGACGUGCUUACGAACACUCGGGCUGAGUCGGGUCCAUGGAGAGAGCGGUGAGAUUAGUGCCAGAAUAAUAACCAGCCUCACAAAGGAUCUUUCACUCGAGGAUACAUAUUGCUGUAUCACCUAUAAUAGCGAUACGUUCUUUUUAUAGUCCUUAUCUAGCGAUGCGCGGCCAAGGAUGUCAAAGCGCCUGCCGAAAGUGAGUAAGCAUUUUAUUAGGUGGGAGCACAAGGCUUGUAAAUGUGCUCCAGCCCAGGAGCAGGAGAGGGACCCCUGAGCAAGAGAAGCUCUCACAGUGUCUGCAGAGCCCAAUGCCUGACCUGUUGUUCCACCCGUGCCAGGACCUCUGGGGAGAAGCGUGUAGGGCGGGGGGAGGAGAAAAUGAAUAACAGUGCCUCUGAAGGGGGGGGAAUAGGGGUGAUGGAGGGGACGGCUGCUGUGCCAUGGGGUUGAACCGGGUCCCGCUGGGAGGUCUGUCUCAGCUCACCCUCCCUAUCCCAUCCCUUGUGCUGUCCUUUUGUUCUCGGUGAGGUGGAUGUGAAGAGAUCUCCCAGAGUGAUGGGAAUGGGAGGGUUUGUGCUUCCCACUGCCUUGUGCUUUGUGCAAAGGUAAGAUAGCCAUGCUGGAAAAAGAAGAGGGCCAUCGUAUUUUGUAGUUCUGAGAAACACCAGAAAACCCACACAGGGGCCAAGAAACCGAGCAACAGAGAGCUGUGAUGUGCAGUGCAGGAAGGUGGGGGGGGUUAUUCUCUUGUUCUUCCUGCACCGAUGUCGGUGUGCGCACACCAGGGCCCGCUCCUCAGCACAUGCAGACACUGCCAUCAGCAGAAGGAACAGCCCGGUGCCUCCGUCCCUGGAGUGCUCUAAAUCUUCUCCUUAGAGCAACUGGCUGGGAAGAUGGCAGAGAGCAUCUGCUCCAGGAGGGGAGGCCGCUCCCCGCCUUGCGCACGAGACCUCAGAUGCAAUCUCUGCAUUUUGCAGGCCCUGGCAGGUGAUGUGUUCAGCUGCACAAAAACAGCAGAUUUCUGCACAUGCUUCCCUCCCAGGCACGCAUGUGCUGAUUGCCAAAUAAUUGACCCAGUUAUGCUAAUAUGCUGUUUGCCUCGCUGGAACUUAAUAAAUACAUAUAUAAUCAAUCUUAACACUUUUUCUUGAGCCACGCACCGCUUCGAUCAGCUGCUGCUUCAGUAGUUUUGCUGGCUCCAACCCAAGGAGCAGAGCCAUACCUGUGCUGGAAGGAAGAGGGGGCAGUCCCCUGGGUAGGUGCAAAUGAGGCCACACCAAGGAGCUCUGAGAGCUGAUCUUGCAGGAAUAACUGGGAGCAAAACUGGCUUUGCAGAUCCCAAACACAGCCUGUAUGUUGUGGACGUGGUCGGUGGAGCUGACGUAUGUAAGUGCGGUGACUUUCCCUACCCAGCCACCAUCCCAGCCUUGUGCAGAUGGAAACUCAGCGAGUUUCUUGUCAUCAAGCCCCCGGUUUCAGUCUGACAAUGGGAACAGCAUCAUCUGUGUCAUGUAUGUUGGAAGCAAUGAAUAGAGAGCUGAGCUCACUCAUCUAUUUGCAUUCUGAAAAUAUGCAAAAAAAAAAAAACCUGUCUCCUUGCUUACUCUCCUGCCCACUCAAUAUCUGUGAAACAAGGAGGAGAAUAUGGGCUGCCUUGUACUUCUGAUCUCAGUGCCCUUGAAUAAAGGAGCAAUUCCUCAGCGCAGCCUUCUGGGAUGAGCGUGAACAUCAGAGCCACGAUGGCAGCAAAAGCUCUCCAUCAAUGCAGGCUGGUGGGCAAAAGGCAGCUCCUGGGUGAGGAGUGCUCAUCAUCAUGGACACCUUGGCUUGAUGUCACCAGGGCACCUUCUCCCCUCCACAUCCGAAUCAGCACUUGCCUCUCUAGGGCACGUAGGUCUGACCUGCCAACUGUUAAACGAAUUACAGCGCGCUCCCCCCGAUCUAUUAGCAUGGAACUGCACACGUCCAUGGGAGAGACAGGCGGAGGACACAGCAGUUCUGAGAGCAACGGGCUGUAGGAGGCUUUCCUUUUGGAUGGAGUUGAAUGAAUCGGCACUGGGCUGCGACUCCACGCUCAGCGUUUGCCUCAUCACUCAGCAGCCCAUGGAUUCUCUUGCUUUUAAUUUGAACAGCUACUUCUCCUCCAGGUUAUGGCUGUCUGAGGCAGCAGAAGCAUCCUCCAGACCGGGCUUUAAGGGCUGGAAUUUACAUGCUUUUUUCUUAUGCUUUCUGGUAUUAAUUUCAUAUGCAGUGGGAAAGUAAUAUCCUGUCUGUCACUGCAGAGGAAGGGCUGUGCGUGCGUCUAUGCACAGUCACUGCUAACUGUUGAGCUCUUUCACUCCAAGUUCGUUUUUGUGAAGAUUUCUAAAUUAAAGCCAAAAUCAGCUGCAGAAAUGAUGAAUGUGUGCUACCAGCAAGGCAAAAUCGGGAGAUGUUUGCUCUUGUUUUCGUAACUCGUGGUCUUUGUGUGUAAGAGUGGAUUGCAUGGCAACUGCAUUCACACUUCUCUUUAAUAAAAGAUCCUAGCAGAUGGACCCACUA